CUCAACCUUACGUGAGGAUAGAGUGCUUAACUCUCCACCCUACCCCACUACCCUCCCUAAACUUAUAAAACACAUCCCGAUUGCAUCAGACAGACACUGACAAUAACAAGGUAUUUCAAACUCAUGUGCUACAUGGCUGUGGGGUUUCUUUUCCCCCUUUUUAUAGCUGAUCUAUCUGUAUUUCCCUUUGAAGUUAAGAUAAACCAAUGUAGCAUUUGAUAUACCAACAUAGCUAGGUGUCGAUAAACCAAUGUAGCUAGGUGUCGAUAAACCAAUGUAGCUAGGUGUAGAUAAACCACCGUAGCUAAGUGUAGAUAAACCAAUGUGUAGAUAAACCAGUUUAGCUAGGUGUAGAUAAACCAAUGUAUGGCGGUGUAGAUAAACCAACAUC
rnacentral:lncRNA from 1 species